AUUGAACGCUGGCGGCAUGCCUUACACAUGCAAGUCGAACGGCAGCGGGGGAGAAGCUUGCUUUUCCUGCCGGCGAGUGGCGAACGGGUGAGUAAUACAUCGGAACGUGCCCUGUAGUGGGGGAUAACUGGUCGAAUGAUUAGCUAAUACCGCAUACGACCUGAGGGUGAAAGUGGGGGACCGCAAGGCCUCAUGCUAUAGGAGCGGCCGAUGUCUGAUUAGCUAGUUGGUGGGGUAAAGGCCUACCAAGGCGACGAUCAGUAGCUGGUCUGAGAGGACGAUCAGCCACACUGGGACUGAGACACGGCCCAGACUCCUACGGGAGGGAGCAGUGGGGAAUUUUGGACAAUGGGCGAAAGCCUGAUCCAGCAAUGCCGCGUGUGUGAAGAAGGCCUUCGGGUUGUAAAGCACUUUUGUCCGGAAAGAAAUGGCUCUGGUUAAUACCUGGGGUCGAUGACGGUACCGGAAGAAUAAGGACCGGCUAACUACGUGCCAGCCGCCGCAGUAA
rnacentral:rRNA from 1 species